rnacentral:rRNA from 1 species
CCUACGGGUGGCAGCAGUGAGGAAUAUUGGUCAAUGGGCGGAAGCCUGAACCAGCCAAGUCGCGUGCAGGAUGACGGCCCUACGGGUUGUAAACUGCUUUUAUACGGGAAUAACGCGCCUUACGUGUAGUGCUUUGCAUGUACCCUAUGAAGAAGGAUCGGCUAACUCCGUGCCAGCAGCCGCGGUAAUACGGAAGGUCCGGGCGUUAUCCGGAUUUAUUGGGUUUAAAGGGUGCGCAGGCGGGAGGUCAAGCUUGCGGUGAAAGUUCCGGGGUCAACCCGGGCAAUGCAGUGGAAACGGGCGUUCUUGAGUGCGCGAGAAGUAGGCGGAAUGCGUGGUGUAGCGGUGAAAUGCAUAGAUAUGACGAAGAACCCCGAUUGCGAAGGCAGCAUGCUGGAGCGGAACUGACGCUGAUGCACGAAAGCGCGGGUAUCGAACAGGAUUAGAUACCCGGGUAGUC